CAGGGAAUAGUUUAUGUAGA
rnacentral:tRNA from 1 species